CCCAGCACCCUUGGUCAUGGAGCAGAGCUCCCUGAUGUUCCCCACAUGACACCACAGGUAGCCACUUUCAAAAUGUGGAACAUUUUUAACCAGUAACACCCAAGAGGUUAAUGCCUGUCUGCCCUGGGAUCUUUCUGCAAUCACAGUUUGCAGCCUCUGCAACAGCCGUGAAGGCACCAACCUCAUCUUUACAAAUGUCACGAGCACCUGACUUUGUGAGGCAAUUCCCAAACAAACCUGGACAAACAGUGAUACCUGCAGUGUGAAUUGGGCAGAAUCAUCCAAUGUGAAAAGCUCUGGAAGAAAGUGUUUUCCAUAUGAGAGGAACAGCUCUAAAGCUCUUGGCCAUUGUGCUCCUGAGUUGGACAUGAGGAUGGACAGACACAACCAGAGUGUGUGAUACUGAGUCUAUUCCUGGUAGCCACAGCUCUGCUAUUUAUAGUUAUUGCCAUGGGAAGGAUGGAAAAGCAAGGGGCAGAGCCAAGGAGUUCUGAUCUGAUUUAGACCUUGCCCAUCCCAUCAGACAUCAAGGCUGCAGCCAGCUCUCCGAGGUGGGAACAGUCCUUCUGCUCAACA
rnacentral:lncRNA from 1 species